GACGAACGCUGGCGGCGUGCCUAAUACAUGCAAGUCGACCUUAGUGGCGAACGGGUGAGUAACACGUGGGUAACCUGCCCAUCAGAAGGGGAUAACACUUGGAAACAUGUGGCAAUACCGUAUACUGGAGGAUGGACCUGCGGUGCAUUAGCUAGUUGGGGAGGUAACGGCUCACCAAGGCCACGAUGCAUAGCCGACCGGAGAGGAUGAUCAGUCACACUGGAACUGAGACACGGUCCAGACUCCUACGGGAGGCAGCAGUGGGGAAUAUUGGGCAAUGGGCGAAAGCCUGAUCCAGCCAUGCCGCGUGUGUGAAGAAGGUCUUCGGAUUGUAAAGCACUUUAAGUUGGGAGGCGUGACCCACAGAAUAAGCACCGGCUAACUUCGGGCCAGCAGCCGCGGUAAUUC
rnacentral:rRNA from 1 species